AGCGCACCUUCGGGUGAGCGGCGGACGGGUUAGUAACGCGUGGGAACAUACCCUUUGGUACGGAAUAGCCUCUGGAAACGGAGAGUAAUACCGUAUGAGCCCUUCGGGGGAAAGAUUUAUCGCCAAAGGAUUGGCCCGCGUUAGAUUAGGUAGUUGGUGGGGUAAUGGCCUACCAAGCCUACGAUCUAUAGCUGGUUUUAGAGGAUGAUCAGCAACACUGGGACUGAGACACGGCCCAGACUCCUACGGGAGGCAGCAGUGGGGAAUCUUGGACAAUGGGGGCAACCCUGAUCCAGCCAUGCCGCGUGAGUGAUGAAGGCCUUAGGGUCGUAAAGCUCUUUCGCCUGUGAAGAUAAUGACGGUAGCAGGUAAAGAAACCCCGGCUAACUCCGUGCCAGCAGCCGCGGUAAUACGGAGGGGGUUAGCGUUGUUCGGAAUUACUGGGCGUAAAGCGCACGUAGGCGGACUGGAAAGUUGGGGGUGAAAUCCCAGGGCUCAACCCUGGAACUGCCUCCAAAACUAUCAGUCUAGAGUUCGAGAGAGGUGAGUGGAAUUCCGAGUGUAGAGGUGAAAUUCGUAGAUAUUCGGAGGAACACCAGUGGCGAAGGCGGCUCACUGGCUCGAUACUGACGCUGAGGUGCGAAAGUGUGGGGAGCAAACAGGAUUAGAUACCCUGGUAGUCCACACCGUACACGAUGAAUGCCAGUCGUCGGGUAGCAUGCUAUUCGGUGACACACCUAACGGAUUAAGCAUUCCGCC
rnacentral:rRNA from 1 species